rnacentral:lncRNA from 1 species
UUACCAAAUAAAAUAAGAUGACCAUUCAUCCAUAUAAGAUUGCAAAAGCUACAAUUGCAAAUGAGAAACCAUUGAAACUAAAAAUUAAACAUUUCAAAUCAGUAAAUUCUAUGUUCCAGCUUGAAAAUACCUAUUUUUCAUCAAUCUUACUAGAUUAAUGAAGUACAGUGUAACAUUACAUUCAUCAUGCAACAAGUUCAUCCUUCCUCUUCUUCUCAUAAUACAAGCAUCCUUACUUUAUUAUUCACAACAACUGCUACUGGCUCACUCAUCUUGUAAGCAAUAAAUCUAAAUCAAAGUACAAUAAUAAAAUUUAGUAGUGAUAAUUAAUCAUUUUUUAAUUCCUUACAAAAUAAAUGAGCAGAUUAGCAUAAAGAAAGCAUACAAUAUAUAGAAAAAAAUUCAAUUCUAAAACAUUAGAACAUUUCAGGGGACAUCACUUUGUUACGCAUAUCAAAGUGACUAAAUAAUUUGGCACUUAAAUAAAAUAUAUAUAAGAAAAAUAAGUCACCUCUAAAGCAUCAGAAUAGGAAAUUAAGAUCUCGCAUGAUUAACGGGUUAAUCAGCCUUUUGGAUCAGAUACACGUACACUCAAUAAUUUAAAUAUGUAUUAAUUAGCUUACGAAUCAUGAAAACAAUAGUAGGAUAUGAUUUAUUACUCACUGUUCUUCAUUUCCAAUGAGAUAUCAAGUAAAACUGUUCGCAUCUGGUGGAGUACGACAUCAAGAAAAAUAAAAUACCCAAAUGCAAUCGAUAAAGCCAUACAUGGGGGGCAUUGAUCGUAUGGUUGUAUUGGAAUUAGGCAUUGAUCGCCGACGGCGGCGCCUCUUUUUCCUUCCGAUUACAGGAACACAUCACACAAACACACAUCGUCUUUCCCCUUCUUUUGGCCUCUUCCGAUCAUUAUAUUGGAUGUAGGGCAGCAAACAUUUAAUUUAUUGUUUUCUUUCCUUUUGAUUUCAUUGUUUAGUUCCUUAAUUUUAGUAGCUACGACUGAAAAUAGGAGAAAA